CCAAAUUGCAAAUUUCAGGACCUUACUUCUUAAGGGAAACUAGCAUUUCCCUUCCCUGUCAGCUCACUUCACUGCCACAGUUGUAAAUUAUUCUGAGAUAUCUCCAGAGUCCCUUCUGCUGUGACUAUCUAAAGAUAUCACUUACCUGUUAAAACCCCGAGAAUGCUGUUUACUGCAGAAAUCCAGCAGUAGAUCAGCAGAUCAGCUUUGCUCACAAGACUAGGUGAACACCUGAUUCAAAAGGACUUCUUUGCCUUUUGCUUCCCCACUCCCAUUCCUAAGAGCAGCAGAGGACUCCUGGCUGAGAACACAAUUGCCUGCCCAUGUAGAUUGCAUAUGCAGGGACCUGACUGACUCUGUGACCAUGACCAAGACCAUAACCUGGUCCCAGUGAGCCUGCACUUGAUGACCUUUUGGGCACAGAUCAAAGCUUGCCACCAUAUCAUAACAAAUCAGCAUUGCCAGAAGUGUCCCUUCCUGCUGCAGAUGGAGCGGAAAUGCCACCCCCAGCCCUGCCAGUUCUCCCGGGGGAUGUAGGCCCAGCGGCAGUAGCAGAAUUACACAUCUCCCUGGAAUCAAGCCAGACCUGUGGAUGGUUAUUAGCUGGAGGAUGUGAGGUCACCAGACUUGAAUCCCAUCACCAUGGUAUGUGCUCUGUGAAACAUUACCUGGGACGUGCUGUCACCCAGACAUCAAAGCAAGAAUGGAUGCUCAUAAAAAAGACUGGUUGGAGAGUCUAACUAUCAAGUCUUGCAGCUAAUAAGCUCAGCCUUCAAAGCUGAUGUGCCCGCUUAUGCAAAACCCAGGUGGGCUUUUCGCAAACAUGAAUAGCUUAUUGUAAUGCACAAAUGAAAACUAUUGGGCCCUUUGAGAAUUUAAUGCAGAUGUGGGCACAGCGGUAGAAAUACACAGCAAUGUUAAAAUGAUAGUGCUGCAAAGUAACUACAUUUCUGGAUAUUAAUGUUAUCUUCCCAUUAGUGUUUUCUAUAAUGUUUUAUUAAAAUUCCCAGAUGAAAACCGCCUAUUGUAAAGAGCUGGUUCAAAACUCUAGAACUCCUUUCCUCUUUAGGGAUGCCAGAAGAAACACAAGAAAUAACUUAAUUUAAAAGGGAAAAAUGUCAUUAGACUCUUUGAGGGAGAAGUUCUUGGAUAAGGUCAUUUCAAAGCCAGAAGGUGCAGCAUAGGCUAGUGGUUAAAGAAGAGGAAUGGGAAUCAGGGAAAUGUUCUGUUCUCAGUGUCCUGCUGUCUGGAGAGGCUCACAAACCCCUGUGAGUUCUGUACUUAGAUUUCACCAAGCAAGUAACAAGUGUGAACUUCUCAGGCACUAUAACCGCCUUACCAUGGAGUCACAGACAGAUUGGGGUGUCCCAUGGGACUAUCUUGCCACUCAGGCAAGCCUACCUUGAUAGACCCUUGAUAGAGGGUCCCUUACACCAAAAAUCACAACAAUAAUUCAGUUACUGCCAGUCCCAAAGGGCCAGUCAUUUACCUCGUAUCUCUAACCAAAGACAGCACUGGUAGACAAUCUUGUAAUAAACUAACUAAAGAUUGAUUAAAGAAGAAAAAGAAACGAGAGUUCUUUACAAGGCUAAAGCAGAUAACACACACACACAAAUGAGAUGCAGUCUGACGUUCCAAAAAGUGAUAGCAGCUGCUAUAAUAUGCAAGCGUUGUAUGUCCUUUGUGGCUAACCCAAGCCAAGCAGCUUGGGGAUCCCUUACUUAUGCUUAGAAAUACUGCCAAUGUUUUUAUAGUUACAGAGCAAGCACUUAAAUAUUACCUUAUAACA